GAUGUGCUUCAGCCGAAGAACCCUCAAAGGACCCGGUGUUCUCACUAGAUCCUGGGAGCAGCUUUUCACCCUCCCCACAGCUCGGCUCAGCCAGGAAGUGAAGCCUGCACCAGGACAAUGAGAUGCACACACGGGGACCUGGGAGAGCGGCUGAUCCAAAUCUACUCUGAAGACUUUCGAUUUCAGUGGAAAUAAUGAGUGGGGAUGACUAAUGAAGACUUCGCCCUUUCCACGAGGUGGAUGGAGCUCGGCUGAGGGUUUCUCUGGUCCUGGGAAGUCAGGCGGUAGGGUUUCUACCCAAUAACUCCUGAGAGUCCAAAGAGUCAGGACCUGGCCAGCUCAGUGAGACCUCGAAGGCCGUUCCCAGAAGAUGAUCCAGAAUUCAAGGGAUGACUUGGGGAUGAGUGUGUACAGCAAGGGGGAUUAAACUGAUGAAAGAUUCAGUUACAUCUGGUUCGUUCCCAUCAGCUCUAUUUCAUAUAGUUUCCCUGGCACCUCACCAGGAGAAUACUAAAUAGGGGGCUUGGUUGUGCAGCUUUAAU
rnacentral:lncRNA from 14 species